GAUGAAGAACGCAGCGAAAUGCGAUAAGUAAUGUGAAUUGCAGAAUUCAGUGAAUCAUCGAAUCUUUGAACGCACAUUGCGCCCCCUGGUAUUCCGGGGGGCAUGCCUGUUCGAGCGUCAUUUCACCACUCAAGCCUCGCUUGGUAUUGGGCAACGCGGUCCGCCGCGUGCCUCAAAUCGACCGGCUGGGUCUUCUGUCCCCUAAGCGUUGUGGAAACUAUUCGCCAAAGGGUGUUCGGGAGGCUACGCCGUAAAACAACCCCAUUUCUAAGGUUGACCUCGGAUCAGGUAGGGAUACCCGCUGAACUUAAGCAUAUCAAUAAGCGGAGGA
rnacentral:misc_RNA from 1 species